GACUCUUUGGCGGAGUGGUUAACGCGAUCGCCUGCUAAGCGGUUCCUCAUCGAGGGCGUGUGUUCGAAUCACACAGGAGUCG
rnacentral:tRNA from 1 species